ACCCGCUGAACUUAAGCAUAUCAAUAAGCGGAGGAAAAGAAACCAACCGGGAUUACCUCAGUAACGGCGAGUGAAGCGGUAACAGCUCAAAUUUGAAAUCUGGCUCCUUCGGAGUCCGAGUUGUAAUUUGUAGAAGAUGCUUUGGGUUGUGGGCUCGGCCUAAGUUCCUUGGAACAGGACGUCAUAGAGGGUGAGAAUCCCGUAUGUGGCCAUGGCCCGCGCCUAUGUAAAGCUCUUUCGACGAGUCGAGUUGUUUGGGAAUGCAGCUCAAAAUGGGUGGUAAAUUUCAUCUAAAGCUAAAUAUGGGCCAGAGACCGAUAGCGCACAAGUAGAGUGAUCGAAAGAUGAAAAGCACUUUGGAAAGAGAGUUAAACAGUACGUGAAAUUGUUGAAAGGGAAGCGCUUGCAACCAGACUUGGGCGCUGCCGAUCACCCCGAGUUCUCUCGGGUGCACUCGACAGCGCACAGGCCAGCAUCGGUUCGGGUGGCUGGAUAAAGGCCGUAGGAAUGUAGCUCUCUUCGGGGAGUGUUAUAGCCCACGGUGCCAUGCAGCCCAGCCGGACCGAGGACCGCGCCUUCGGGCUAGGAUGCUGGCGUAAUGGUUGUAAGCGACCCGUCUUGAAACACGGACCAAGG
rnacentral:rRNA from 1 species